CCCCCACACCUCGCACCCUGCCCUCUCUCCCGAAGGAGUUUCUAAGGAGAAAAAUAAAAAUGGCAGCAGUCUGAGAAAGAUAAAGGAAGGACAUAGAUAUCCACCAAGUUGAAUACUAGCCUCGUACCAAAAGUGAUUGGGUGCAGGGCCAGGGAAGGAAACUUCCAGAGCUCAGGAGACGUCUCCUUCCAUCUUCAUUAAAGCCCCUUGACAGUAAAAAGUGAGCGAAUCAGCAUCAGAACCCAGGCAUAGGGAUGUUUAUCGCCUUGCGGUGGAGCACAGGCGAGUGGCCGGCCUUGACCAGGUGGGGCAGCUCUGGACUUGAGUGAGGAGGUCAGAAUGGUGGCAGGAGCAGGGCAGGAGCCCCCCCGGCCUGGGGGGCGCAAUGCCUGGAGACGCCCAGCAGGGGGCGCAGAGGCCUGGUAGGACUGGGGUUGGAUGUGAUUUUGCUGGUGGGCCUGGCUGCGGCUGAACCCUCAGUCUUUUGAUGCCGCAAGCUCGCUCUCCAGCCGCCCCCCACCCCAACCCCCUCCGAAUCCUAGGCCAGCCUGUCGCCAUUUUAACACAUUCAUGUUCUGCCUAAAGCAGCCGGAAUUGGUUUCUGUUGCUUAUAAGCGGGCGAGAGUCCCAGCUGACUCUCCAGGCCUCUGGGCUGACAUUCUAGAGACUUCCACCCCACUUCUUUUCAAAUGCCCUCUGCUGACCGAGGCCAGGAUAGACCCACUCCAUGGAGACAAACCAAGCACAACACAAGUCAAAUUAAAAGCAGAAAGCCUCCAAAUUUGGCGCCGGCCCAGCGUCCUGCCCUGACAGCUGGUCUUCCUCUAAGCCACUGGCGGUGGAGGGCGCCUGAAACAAGACCACCAAUCAGGGUAAACUUCCAGAGAAGCUCCACGUCAGCCUCCUGCAUGGCUGCUGGACCAGUCGAUUUGAGCUCAGCUACUUUAGUCACAAGGUUAUUUCCAAACAGGACUUCUAUUACUAGGAGCGAGGUGCAGGGAGCUUAGCAGCCUCUUCCAGCUUCCAAUCCACCUUGCAAUGAUUAACAAUCACCAUCGUCCCAUCCUAAUAACAAUUCCAAAACUAGAGAAAUCAGGCUAUAGACGAUUCAGUCCUUAUUCCUGGGAAUGGAUCACACAAGACAGGAAGUUGAAGCUUGGACCAGGGUCAAGGGCCGGAAGUGAGCAGGCUCUGCUGCCCAUAAUGCAGUAGACUGUCUUCAAGUAAAACCGAAGCUCCGGGCAGAUGCGCCGUGUCUAUCUAGGAACUCCAGACUCUCCAAGGGACUACUGCUGUGCCCAGAGCUGUGACAAAGCUAAGCUACUGCCACCGAUACAAGGAGUCAGGGCACACAGAAGGGAUACACUGAUAUUGGCAAUUUAAAUAGCACUGGUCACACCCAUACAG
ensembl:lncRNA